rfam:Enterococcus casseliflavus EC20, complete genome.
CACAACCAACAACCUUUUUAUUUUUCAUUUUACUCCUUUUGCCAUCAGGACUAACCAACCUGAUGGUUUUUUUG